rnacentral:tRNA from 2 species
GCGGAUGUAGCUCAGUUGGCUAGAGCGUCUGCUUGCCAUGCAGAAGGUCGUGGGUUCGAGUCCCAUCAUCCGCUUCA